AACUUUCAACAACGGAUCUCUUGGUUCUCGCAUCGAUGAAGAGCGCAGCGAAAUGCGAUACCUAGUGUGAAUUGCAGCCAUCGUGAAUCAUCGAGUUCUUGAACGCACAUUGCGCCCCAUGGUAUUCCAUGGGGCAUGCCUGUCUGAGCGUCGUUU
rnacentral:rRNA from 1 species